UACGGAAGGCAGCAGGUGGGGAAUAUUGCACAAUGGGCGAAAGCCUGAUGCAGCUAUGCCGCGUGUAUGAAGAAGGCCUUAGGGUUGUAAAGUACUUUCAUCGGGGAGGAAAAAACAAAACUAAUAAUUUUAUUUCUUGACGUUACCCGAAAAAGAAGCACCGGCUAACUCCGUGCCAGCAGCCGCGGUAAUACGGAGGGUGCUAGCGUUAAUCAGAAUUACUGGGCGUAAAGAGCACGUAGGUGGUUUUUUAAGUCAGAUGUGAAAUCCCUGGGCUUAACCUAGGAACUGCAUUUUGAAACUGAAAUACUAGAGUAUCGUAGAGGGAGGUAGAAUUCUAGGUGUAGCGGUGAAAUGCGUAGAUAUCUGGAGGAAUACCUGUGGCGAAAGCGGCCUCCUAAACGAAUACUGACACUGAGGUGCGAAAGCGUGGGGAGCAAACGAGGAUUAGAUACC
rnacentral:rRNA from 1 species